CGCUCAGGUGGCCUAGUGGUUAGAGCGUCCGCCUCGGGUGCGGGAGAUCGUGGGUUUGAAAACUGACCGAGUGA